rnacentral:lncRNA from 1 species
UAUUUUCUUCUGGAGGUAACCCCCUCUGUGUGUGUGUGUGUCUGUAGGUGCACCAGUCAGCCCAUCAAUGGGCAUAAUCAGUAGAUCCUCAGAGAGAAGCUCUUGGAAAUGGGUAUCCUAGUGAGAAAAUCCUCAGCAGUUUCAGUUCAGUCAGGGCAUCUCCUUCGCAGCAGCAGCAGAAGCAGCAGCAGAAGCAACGGCAGUGCUUCUGGUACUCUGCAGGCCACAUCGUUCAUACCUUAUACAUCACUACCAUAUUCUUUGUAAUAGGAGAGCCUAAUACAGCAUUUCAUUGCCUACAGCCCCCAAGCUUCCACCAGGCAGUUGCAUUUCUGCAUCUGAACCUUCUUAAUCAUCCCUGCAGUCCUCCAUCUCAUCAGCAGGCUAUUUGUGUCUCAGCAGGAGCAGCAAAAGAAGCAUGUUAUCACCUGGAGGUUAGACUCACCCUGUUCAUUAGGUUCAACCAUCCACUAGCAAGUAUAUGAGCCUACUGGGUGACCUUCUGCAGAACGAAUUGACAAGAACAGAUCCCACAAUUAUUAACUUUCCACUUGUUUCCAUAGUUUAUUG